rnacentral:rRNA from 1 species
GAAACCGGGGCUAAUACCGGAUGCUUGAUUGAACCGCAUGGUUCAAUUAUAAAAGGUGGCUUUUAGCUACCACUUACAGAUGGACCCGCGGCGCAUUAGCUAGUUGGUGAGGUAACGGCUCACCAAGGCAACGAUGCGUAGCCGACCUGAGAGGGUGAUCGGCCACACUGGGACUGAGACACGGCCCAGACUCCUACGGGAGGCAGCAGUAGGGAAUCUUCCGCAAUGGACGAAAGUCUGACGGAGCAACGCCGCGUGAGUGAUGAAGGUUUUCGGAUCGUAAAACUCUGUUGUUAGGGAAGAACAAGUACCGUUCGAAUAGGGCGGUACCUUGACGGUACCUAACCAGAAAGCCACGGCUAACUACGUGCCAGCAGCCGCGGUAAUACGUAGGUGGCAAGCGUUGUCCGGAAUUAUUGGGCGUAAAGCGCGCGCAGGCGGUUUCUUAAGUCUGAUGUGAAAGCCCCCGGCUCAACCGGGGAGGGUCAUUGGAAACUGGGGAACUUGAGUGCAGAAGAGGAGAGUGGAAUUCCACGUGUAGCGGUGAAAUGCGUAGAGAUGUGGAGGAACACCAGUGGCGAAGGCGACUCUCUGGUCUGU